rnacentral:lncRNA from 1 species
UGCAAAUAAAUUUUAAAAUAUAUAACGUUGAUAAGUAUAUAUGUCAGAAAUCACUAAUUUAACUCAUAUCUAAAAUUUAGGCCGGGCACUGUAGCAAAACGGUAUCAUUUCAGCCAUCUCAAUUUGAUGUUAGUCAUUGAUUCUUGACAGGAAGAAAUUACUAAGACAUCAGAACUUGAGAUGUUAGGUCAACAAUUUAUUUCUCACAAGGUGAAAUUCUUCAACAAACAAACAGGUAAAGACACACAGUAAUAAUGAUCACAACAGUUGUACAUAAAUUGCAGCAGUUAGUGCAAUGUUACAUUGUUUCUGAUGGUUGAGAUCCUAAAUUGUUCCAACGGGUGUUAUAUUUGGAAGAAUUUCCUUUCGCAAUCAUUUACCAGUGGAUCUGUGAAUAAGAGUCACCUUCUUCUCUAGUAUGUGCACCUCCAUAGACUCCACAUCUGCAACAUUCAAUUCAAACUUAAUUGGAUCAAUCUACAACUACAACUUAGCAUAUAUAAAUCAUCUCAUGCUUCCUUUCAAAACAUUAUUGAUUAUACAUAUGAUUUUUUUUAAAACAAAAUUGAAAAUUAGUCUUUCAAAUUUUAAUUUUCAAGUGAAUUUUUUUUUUAUCACUCAUGAACUUUCAACUUCUUUUCUGGUUCAAUGCAUAGCCACAACUUCAAUUUCCAAAUAUCACCUUUUUAAUGUCCAAACGCCUACAAAAUAUACACACAACUCACCUUCAACAUUUGAAAUUACACUAGAAACUCUGUUUUGGCAGUUGGCACAUCUUAAAUCUGCAUCUAAUACCACUUCCUGGAUCUGCAUUUCAUCACCAAAACCAGACAACUCAAGGCUCCAUAAUAUGCUACUUUUAUGUGCGUUUUAAGAUUAAAUAUGGCAAGGUUCAAGUAACUAGCUACAACAAUAUGUGUAUUGGUUGUGCAAAGAUCACAAGCACAUCAAACUAGGAGGAAAAGGCAGAUAAAAAGAAGAUUAGUAACAGUAUAAUCUCAUAUUUCCUCCAUACAUGUACUAUUAGGAGUUAACAUAUGUUUCUUGAAAUAGUAUUAAGUGUGUGCAAAUUGAUUUGGGCACGCCAUUGUAUUAAAAAAAAAAAAAAAAGUUUAACAAGGGAGAGACAGAUGUAUUGGUGACUCACCAGAGGAAGUGCCAAGCAUUUGGUAGAAGUGGAAAUUUCAGCAAGUGUCAAUCUUUUAGGCUUUUGGAGUUUGAAUCUAGAAAGCUCUUUCUUAGCCCAGGAAACCAGAGCCAUAAAUUGGUUGCGUUUAUCAGCAGAUGAAAAUAGGUAACUUUAUCAAUAGAAAAUUGGACAAGGGUAAGAUGACAAUUCUUAUUAAUAUAAGCUAUACAUUAUUGUUGAUGGAGAAACUCCAUCUUUAAGAGUUCCCUUAUGUUUUAAGCACAGCAAAAGUGAUAAACAUAGCACAUAAAAACCACAUGUUUAGAGGACGAGAGCCAUUAAAUCUUGUCCCUCGUAAAGGAGACCCACAUCUUUUUCCCCUUAGCUUUUUAGGCCUCGGGAUUCAUAGUUGUUUUGCAUUGAUUUCUUUGUCAAU